rnacentral:sRNA from 1 species
CGCCGAAGGUUCCCCUGGACGAGACGGUUCUCCUGGUGCCAAGGGUGACCGUGGUGAGACCGGCCCCGCUGGACCCCCUGGUGCUCCUGGUGCUCCUGGUGCCCCUGGCCCCGUUGGCCCUGCUGGCAAGAGUGGUGAUCGUGGUGAGACUGUAAGUAGCUGGGCUCCAGUUCUCUGUGUCUGGUCAGGCCAGGGACUCUCCAGGCCUCCUCAGAGGCCUGGGGAUGGGUGUCGGACUUCACCCAGGCAGGAGGAGGAAAGGAGAUCCUGCAAGAUGUCCGGGCCUUAAUCCAAAAAACUGAGUUAAAGCUCAGCCCCAAGUCCCCUCUCCCAGACAGGACCCCCUCUCCCGUGAGUUGGCCCCAGCUCCCGUGAAGAUUGCAGUGGGGAGGUUUCCCUGGGAGUUGGGAGAGAUGGCCACAGUGGGAAGCAGCUGAGGAGAGAGAGAUCUAGCUGAGGGGAGGCCUCAUCCUGCAGCCCCAGCCUCAGCCUCCCCUGGCCAAGAGCUCAUGCUUUCCUUGCUCUCCGCAGGGUCCUGCUGGUCCUGCCGGUCCUGUCGGCCCUGUUGGCGCCCGUGGCCCCGCUGUAAGUACCCUGCUGUGUCCGCAUGCCUUCAGAACUCUACAGAUGCGGACAGUGCCCCACUUGAUGCCAGUGGAACUUCUGCCUGACAGUUUGUCCCUUUCUCUCUUCUAGGGACCCCAAGGCCCCCGUGGUGACAAGGGUGAGACAGGCGAACAGGGCGACAGAGGCAUAAAGGGUCACCGUGGCUUCUCUGGCCUCCAGGG